UCGGAAUAAAAAAAAAUAUGAUCCAUCAAUUGAAUAAAUACUGUGUAUUUUAAGUAUAGGCACACUGAUAAGAAAUAGAUAUAUAAAAGUGAAUUUUUUCAAUCCAGUGGUACUUGCAAACGAAUUGGUAUCAGUAAUAACUCAAUUCAACAUUUGAUUUACAAUUCAUUACUUUGCGAAAAUGCAUUCAAAAUUAUUGUUAAUUGCUUUAUUGGUUGCACUACUGGUAAUUUGUGCACGAGCACAAGGUCAGUGUGCUUUGACGGGUCAAGCCUGUGAUCCUUUUGCGGAAAAGCCUUGUUGUAAUUAUUACGAAGAAGUUUGUUCACGUUUUGGUAGAGAGGAGGCAGCAACGUGUAAAGUCGCAAACUGUUAAAAUUUAACAGAUGUAAAGAAAAAAAAAAAUAUUGAAUGUUUAAAUUAUAAUAUGUUCAAUGAUAUAUUAAAUAAAAUUUAAACAUCAGAAUUUACAAACAAAUUUUAUUUUAUUUUUUCACCCAUUUUUCACAUGCACACUAGAGUACACGAAGAAAACGUGUCUCGAAAAUAUAGUAAUAUUUCAUAUUUAUUCAGUAAAAAAAACCAUGAAUGAAAAUUACUUUUAUCUUCCCGCUAAGAAAAUCGACGAUUUUCGAAAUUUCGGGAAGUUAUUGUUUUCAUUCCGAUUUGCGAAAAUCGAAAUUUCAUCAGAUGUCGACGUUUUGAGGUCCUAGGAAGCUAUUCUGACUAUUUUCAGAAUGAUGUCCGAGUGUCCGUAUGUAUGUAUGUGUGCGUUUGUGUGUGCGUGCGUGUAUGUGUAUGUGUGUAUGUAUGUGUGUGACCGGUCUAUAACUAUUCAACUAAUAAACCGAUGGUUUAGGCGGCAAUCGAAAGAGCUUGUUGGCUAUCAACUUUUCUGAAAAUUUCAGAUCAUUUGAUCAAGUAGACUCGAAAAUAUACAGAUAUUUUCAAUGAGAUUUCAAAAAUGACUAUAUUCGUUCAUGCAUGAUUAUAUCUAAUCAUAUAUGAUUAUAUAUGAUCAGAUCUGGCCAAUUUUCAGAUCUGAUUAUAUAUGGACUUAUUUAUAAUUAUACAAAAUCAUUUUUUAUCGGGUAAAUAUGUAUACUAUACUUUAAUAUAAAUAUAUAACAAAUGAAAAAAUAUUCUGCUUAUUUGUUAAUUCCCGCGAAAAAAUAUGUAUUGUUUUCGAGACGGAUAACAAAGUAAAUAUUUUUAUUUUCUUUCGUUUUUCAUAAAUUUCUUAAUAAAGCUAAGAAAAUAUUAUGUGUGAAUGAAAAUCAAUCUGACUGUUUUAAAUCAUUUAUAAAUAAGAGGUAACGGACACAUUAUUAUUAUUAAAAAAAAAAUAUCACUAAAAUGAAAAAUAUUAAAAAAUUGAUUUAUCAGUUGAAUAAAUAUUGAUGGUUCUUUACCUUAAGUGACUGAUAAAAAUUAAUUUUUUACAAUAUAGUGAUACUUGCAAGAAAGUUGGAAUCAGCAGCAGCUCAAUUUAACAUUUGAUUUACUAUCAAUUACUAUACAAAAAUGCAUUUAAAAUUUGUAUUAUUUGCGUUAUUAGUUGCACUACUGGCAAUUUUCUCACGAGCAGAAGAACAGUGUGCUUUGACGGGUGAAGAAUGUAAUCGUUUUACCGCUAAUCCUUGUUGUAAGGAGGACGAAAAGUGUUUAGGUCCGAUUGACCAUAAAACCUGUACUUUCUUCGAAUAUAUAGAAUAUGAAAAGGACAGAAAAUAACAUUUUAUAUUUUUUUCUUUAGUUUAAAAAGAUAAACAAAUAUUUACUUCAAAGACUCAAUGUAUUAAUUAAUUUAUAACAUGUUCAAUAAAAUCGACACAUUCGAGUUUACAAACAA